rnacentral:rRNA from 1 species
UACGUAGGGUGCAAGCGUUGUCCGGAAUUAUUGGGCGUAAAGAGCUCGUAGGUGGCUUGUCACGUCGGGUGUGAAAUCCCGGGGCUUAACCCCGGGUCUGCAUUCGAUACGGGCUGGCUAGGGUCCUUCAGGGGAGACUGGAAUUCCUGGUGUAGCGGUGAAAUGCGCAGAUAUCAGGAGGAACACCGGUGGCGAAGGCGGGUCUCUGGGAAGGUACCGACGCUGAGGAGCGAAAGCGUGGGGAGCGAACAGG